ensembl:lncRNA
GGGAUCUAAAAUAAAAAGUAUGGUAAGUAGGCCAAACUGAAUCAGAGACUAUUUCAGAUGAAACCUGGUAUUUGACACCGCUGCAUCACAAAUGAGUUAAAUCCCUAAAAGACCAGAGCGAUUUUUGUUUUCCUCUGCAGUGCUGCAGUUAGUCAGUCACUUUAUAUAAGAAAGCCAGUGCACAUACAGUCUGCACCUGUGAUGAGGCAAACACUGUACCAUGCACAAAUACCAUACACUGAUAUAAGUGCAUGCAUGCACUAUGUGUACAUGAUCAGAAACUGACCAUUCAACAGGGAACCCACAGUGAACAUUGGACAAGUAAGGAUUAAACUUUCAGUAAGCAAAUUCCUCUGUUCAUGUCUUUCAUCAGUGUCUAAUUGGCAUUUAGCUGCUUCAGUGGAGCUGGGUCAGAUAGAGAGGUAAAGAGAAAGAAGGCGAGAGAGAGACAGAGAACAUGGGUGUGGGAUUUUUUUUUUUUUGAUGUCUGUUGGUGUUGAUGUUUUAGACCAAUCCCAGCCAGAAUUACAGUACAGCGUUUUUAAUGAGGGACCCGACAAGCAACAAAUGCAUGUGUUUGUGUGUAUGAAUACAUAUCUGAACAUCCACCACGUCACUUCUUCACCAUUUUAUUACAAACGUGUCAUCUGAUGAAAUUUCAAUAGGGGUGAGUCAGAUAACAAUCAUCGUCAAUCUUCAAGCGUGCUUGUGUGUGCAGUUAUUUAUGUGAUUUGUAAUUAGUAUCUACCUGACUCAUACUCUUAACGUGCUUUGUGCAACUGGACCAUCUGAGCUGCUUUCAUUUAACGUGACGUCGCAUUUAGAGGAAAUUAGAGGGGAAAUACCAUAACCAGACUAAACAGGCUUUACCUGCCUGUUUGCAUGCGCGUGUGUGAGACUAAACAGGAUUAAGAGUCAGAGACAGUAGAUGUGGUUUAUAUCAGAAUAACAAGUAGCCAUUCUGUAAACAGACAUCCGGAAACACGCAAUUGCAGUAAUGAGCGCAUGUGGUUCAGUGGUGCACAUCUGCUUAACAUUGACACCAAGUAAAUGACCAUUUGUGGUGGAGUCAAGGAUGAGACAUGCAUGGGUUUGUGUGUGGCAAGUUGGGAUGUCAGUGUGUGUUUGCACAGACUACAGUGAUGC